rnacentral:rRNA from 1 species
GACGUAGGAGGCGAGCGUUUGUCCGGAUUCAUUGGGCGUAAAGAGCACGCAGGCGGUUUGGCAAGUCGGAUGUGAAAGCCCGGAGCUCAACUCCGGACCUGCAUCCGAAACUGCCCGACUAGAGGUAGGUAGGGGAGAUCGGAAUUCCUGGUGUAGCGGUGAAAUGCGCAGAUAUCAGGAGGAACACCGGUGGCGAAGGCGGAUCUCUGGGCCUUACCUGACGCUCAGGUGCGAAAGCUAGGGGAGCGAACAGG